CUGGAAAGUAGGCCAUGUCUUGAAAUAUUGCAUAUUUAUAAUGCGUGUGCUGUUUUGUGUUUUUUUUGUAUGUCAAUCCAUCAAUGGAGAAGUCCCCUCCCUACACGCUACAGACAAUAGUACUUUUACUUUUACUUUGUACUUGAAGUAUUUUUUAAGGAUAAUUUGCACUUUUUACUUGAGUACGUUUUGCCUCCAGUACUUUUUACUCUUACUCAAGUCGUUUUAUUGUCAAUUACUUCUACUUUUACUCGAGUACAGAUUCAAAGUAAUUUAGGUACCACUACGGCUAAAAAUAUUGAAUUAUCGCACCCUGUAUUUGUUAACACAUCAACACAUAUAAUUUGGCAUACAACCUUUAAUUUGUGUAACAAUGUAGAUACUACUAAGCUUCGUCUAAUACUACAGCUGUAGCAGACGUCGUUCAAAUGUCAUAUAAUACUACAAAGCUAGGACUAACACUACGGUUGAAUGCAGAGACGCCGGAACGAUAAUAGGGCAAAGGGGGGCGGACGCACACCAAGGGCACCUCUACUGAAAAUUUUUUUUUCACUGCAAAAUUUUUUGGCGAUUUUCGCCAUUUCUUCAAAAUAUUUUUCUAAAUUUCAAAAAUUUUUAUAAAUAUAAACUAUAAAUUACCUGAAUCUCGUGAUUUUCCUACAAAAAGCAUCGUUGGAAAUGUGAU